UACAGAGGGUGCGAGCGUUGUCCGGAAUCACUGGGCGUAAAGGGCGCGUAGGUGGCGGCAUAAGGCCGCGGUGAAAGUUCGGGGCUCAACCCUGAAUCGGCCGCGGCGACUGUGUUGCUAGGGCACCGUAGAGGCGGAUGGAAUUCCGGGUGUAGCGGUGGAAUGCGUAGAGAUCCGGAAGAACACCAGUGGCGAAGGCGGUCUGCUGGGCGGUGGGUCCGCGAGGAUCCAAUAGCCGACACUGAGGCGCGACAGCGUGGGGAGCAAACAGG
rnacentral:rRNA from 1 species